rnacentral:rRNA from 1 species
UACGUAGGGAGCAAGCGUUGUUCGGAUUUACUGGGCGUAAAGGGCGCGUAGGCGGCAAAUUAAGUCAGCUGUGAAAUCUCCGAGCUUAACGCGGAACUGUCAGCUGAUACUGAUCUGCUAGAGUGCGGAAGGGGCAAUCGGAAUUCCUGGUGUAGCGGUGAAAUGCGCAGAUAUCAGGAGGAACACCGGUGGCGAAGGCGGGUCUCUGGGCCGAUACUGACGCUGAGGAGCGAAAGCGUGGGGAGCGAACAGG